AAGUGAGACGAAGUGACCGCGUUCAAACAAAGUAUCCGUGAGUUUCUGUUGGGAAAGCAUCAAGAUCUGCGGCAAACUGUACAGGAUUGCGUUCAUCUCCAAAAUCCGGGUUGCAGCCGGAGAGAGAAGUUGGCAGCCGGAAAAAGUGGACCCCAGUAAGCAGCAGAGAUCGUGGUUGUGGAUCCCACUUUUCUUCAGGUGAUUGGCAGGAGGAGGAGAGUCUGACGGAGGAGCAGAGGAAUGUUGGCAGCCAUUUAGUCUGAGCUCAACAACGGAGGAAACAUGGAUUCUUCACAAAAAAAAUGUAAACACAGCAAUGGAGUGAGAUGUCGGACCUCUGAGGAGGAUAAGGAUGGUUCGGCAACAACAGCAAAAAGAGAUGAAUCGCUCAGUUGUGAGCAAUGUGGCAAGACUUUUAUCACAGCAACAAAGCUCAGAAUUCACAAACGUAUUCACACUGUGAACAAACCAUUCAGCUGUGAUCAGUGUGGAAAGGUUUUUCCUACCAAGACUCUAUUAAAAAGACAUCAACUCAUUCACAGUGGAGUUAAACCAUUCAGCUGUGAUCAGUGUGGAAAGGCUUUUACUCAGAAGAGUCACUUAAAAAGCCAUCAACUCAUUCACAGUGGAGUUAAACCAUUCAACUGUGAUCAGUGUGGAAAGUCUUUUACUUACAAGAGUCACUUAAAAAGCCAUCAACUCAUUCACAGUGGAGUUAAACCAUUCAGCUGUGAUCAGUGUGGAAAAGCCUUUUACUCACAAGAGUCACUUAAAAAGCCAUCAACUCAUUCACAGUGGAGUUAAACCAUUCAGCUGUGAUCAGUGUGGAAAGGCUUUUAUUCAGAAGCGUAAUCUAGCAACACAUCAACUCAUUCACAGUGGAGUGAAACCAUUCAACUGUAAUCAGUGUGGAAAGGCUUUUACUCACAAGAGUACUCUAGCAAGUCAUCAACUCAUUCACAGUGGAGUUAAACC